ensembl:lncRNA
GAAAUAUGUUUUUAAAUAUUUUGUGGCAUAAAAUGUUCUCUGUGAAGUGCUCAUGAAACCAUAGCUAUUGACCAACAACUCGAAGGCAAAAAAAAGGAGCAAACAAACAAACAAACAAACAAAAAAACCCUUUAUAUUGAGUUAUGGUUGGAUAAUGUACAAAUAAGCAUGCAUUACAUCAAUGUACUAUUUUGGUUCUGCCACAAUUUUUAGUUGUUGAAAACAUUAAUUUAUAGAUGAAUGUGUGGGUCGUUUGCUUCCUGCAUGAAAACAGGAGAUUUAUUAUGGAUAUAUUCUACAUCAUACAAAGUACUAUAUCGGACAGAUUCUCAUACUGAUGGCUGCUUUAGUCAGCACAUACCUUAAAAGAUGGGACAAUUCACUCAAAACAGUCUGACCUACUAACAUGCAGAUAAUCAAAUGCAGGCCCACAGAUUGCUUCAGAACUCAACCAAACAGUAAAACGCUACCAUAGACAGCUUCAGCAGAUUUUUCUUGCCUUGAUUUUGACAUUUGACACAGGGCCUGAUAGUCAGGAGGAGUAAAAUCACACAAAGAUGACAGAGGGCAGGAUAGUGUUAAACACUGCAACAGAGCAAUAUAUUUUCAAACAAAAAAAAAAAUGCUGCAAAAAUGUAUGUUAUAAACCUAUGUUGUAGGUUUUGCUGUGCUAUUAAGGAAUGAGGUACUCAGUCUUGAAAAUUGUCAGUGAUAGAAAAUAUAAAUUCAGACAGAAAUAGAACACCUUGACCAGAGAACAGUCAAAAUGUUCUGAAUCCACCACUGAGAUCAGUGAAAUGUGAUUAAAACAAGUUUUCCAUAAACAGCAUCUGUUUCUCUGUUAUGGGGUUCACAAUUAGGUAGGCAGACCUUAAUUCCUGAUCAUUUUAGGGACAGUCGAAUUGUAGCGUCUCAUCACCGAGGUCUAUCCGAAGGCGAGCAGGGUAUCUGAGAGAAGACCGCACAUUUCUCUCACGCAAGCUGUUUCUCACCGCAGCGAAGGCCGCUCUCCUCUUAGCGACGCUGGGGCUGAAGUCAGGAAAGAUGAAGACCUUACGGCCCUGAUGGAAAAGUUGAUUCCAAUUCCCUCGUCGAACAACUUUUUCUCUGUCGUGAAAGUAGUGAAACCGCACAAUCAUCACUCUGGACCUGUGAUUCUCUCGCUGUUCCUCCGAGGGCACGGGGCCAAUGCGGUGCGCUCUAUCCAGCAAUGGAGCAGUCGGAAAGAUUUCUGAUCCGAGCACAUCCUGGAAAAAUUUAGACAUAAAUGUUCGCUCCUUUCUUCUCGUUCCGGAAUACCGAUGACCCGGAGAUUGCAGCGCCGCGAGCGGGACUCUAAAUCCUCAACUUUCUCGAACAGAAGGAGCUUUUAAAGAGGCUGAGGACAUGGCUGAGUGCUGAUCAAAAACACACUGCAGUGCUUAGCUGCUAACAUCAUCCAGCCAAAACAUAUAUACCUGAGAAAUAAC